CCCCGUUCCUAAGUACUCGUGCCGCAGGAGAGAUGUAUUAAUCUGCAAGUUCCUCCUGCUGCUCAAGUUCUUAACCAAUGGGU
rfam:Daphnia pulex DAPPTscaffold_285_Cont8295, whole genome shotgun sequence.